CCCCACUCUCGCAUCCUCCCUCCCCACGACCUCCACUUCCUUGGCGCUGGAUGAUGUCGCUAUAUGGUGCCGCGUCCGAGUCCGUUCCUGUCUCUUUCAUCCCAAAUCCGCACGCAGUCCGCCACGGCAACAGCGCGCUUCCUGUCCUGCAUCGGGAGCCGGAGGACCUCGCCUACUCCCUCCCUCCAUCGGCGCCCGGAACAGCGCUGCCGCCACGCCGGUGCUGCCCAACGUGUACAGCGCGCUGCUCUGCUUUGACCGCCUCUCCGAGCUCUCCUCUGCCAUUGACGAGUUCUCAAGUGGGUAUCAACAAGACUGCGCGCGUGCCGGAGAACGAGGACGACUGAAAUCACAUAGAGGAAACUCGAAUACAAUAGUGGCUCUUGCUGGGAACAAGGCUGAUGUGUUAGAUACGAGGCAGGUGUCAGCAGAUAAGUUUGAACUUGAUUUGUGUUGCUGAGUGGUGCUUGCUGGACAUUGCUGGAUUUUUAGAUCCUAUAAGAACAAUGGCAUUAGGUAGACGUACUCAAAAUAGGACGGUGGCAGGCCUGUCUCCCUUUCCUCCUUUCGUGCUAUUUGACGAUAUUCAAGAUGUCAAUAACUUACCACAAGUCAAAAGUGUCUUUGCGAGAGUAGUUGUUAAGUUCCCUAGGCGUCGUAAUAGUCAACACUACAUCCUACAGGACAUCACUGGAUCCAAAAUCGAAGCAAUUUCUAACGGCAAUAAUGUCCAACGGUUCGAUGCCUUACUCACACAAGGAUGCACAUAUACAUUGUAUAGAGUGGCAUUUUGUCUAAACCGGGAGGAACUUCAAUUUCGCAAUAUUGGUCAUGGGCUAGAGUUGGGAUUGAUAACACAUACUAUUGUGGAUCCAUUCACGAAGCCAAUCCAAUUUCCUCCAUUUCCAAAGUAUCUUAUGCCAUUUCAUGAGGUUUACCAACAACCGCAUAAGACAUUCGUAGAUGUUAUUGGCAUAGUUCUUCAUUUGGAACCAUUAAAGCAUAUCGGUGGAAGACCGUAUAGAGAAGCUGUACUAAUGGAUUCUAGGUGGGAUCUAAUCAUCGUGGGGGUAUGGACUGACCUCUUGCAAAGAAAUGCUCUACGAUGGUCGUUAGCUAGAGUUGACAAGAACAUAAUUAUUGGAACUUUGCUGCGUUGUAACCAUAA